rnacentral:lncRNA from 1 species
GUCAAUGACUUGAUUACUUUAUUUACAAUGGAUCCUGCUCAGCUCUGGUGUAUUUCAGAAAGAACUGAGAAACACUAUGAUUGGCAGUGAGAAAUACCAAGAGCAUAAUUUGUCAACAUUUCUUGUCAAACACACAUGAUGAGUGAAGAAAGGCAACAACAGGCUGUAUAUGACAGAUGUAUAUGCACAUCCAUUGCGAUAACCUGUAUCCCGUUAUGACAGAGUCACUACAAAUGAGGCAUAAUAACAGUGUGAUGUUUACAAACCCCAAAUUGUCAAUCCUUCAAUUCUAACAGUUGACAUGCAAUUUGCCUCGGGAUUAAAACAAAUCUCGAUCUCACUAGUUCCUAUACAGUAACUUGGAUUUUACACGAGUGAUAAUAAGGUCGUUCCGGUGCACUUGUGCUGUCUGUACUUACCAGGAUUUCGAGGAAUAAAACUGCAUUGUUUACAUCCAGGAUAGACGUGUCAGCCGUGUCCAUAGAUGUGAUUACGAUUAAUUUAGGUCAAUUGUACAUUACCCCUAGAACGGUCUAUUCCUGUUAUUACGAACGCCUUUUGCAGUGGUGAUGUGAUGGAAAUUUUCGAGUAGCGCAACCCAGCAUUUGCCUCGAGUACGUGUGGCUUCUGCCGAUGACGUAAUGCGGAAUCUCUUCACUUGCGUCAGUGUAUUCUUUACAAAUGUUGAAGUUGACAAAAUAAACAUACAAACACAUAAUGAUUCAGCCAUAUACUUAUUGUAUAAACCCAUGAAUACAAUGCACAGGAAGGAUAAGUGCAGUCUGUGAAACCAAAUAACAUUAAAAAAAAAGGGUGAGAAACUGAUGAGAGAAAUCUGCAUCACAUCAAAGUCUUUAUAGUAAAUCAAAUUUAUUUAUAUAGCCCUUCGUACAUCAGCUGAUAUCUCAAAGUGCUGUACAGAAACCCAGCCUAAAACCCCAAACAGCAAGCAAAGCAUGUGAAAGAAGCACGGUGGCUAGGAAAAACUCCCUAGAAAGGCCAAAAACCUAGGAAGAAACCUAGAGAGGAACCAGGCUAUGAGGGGUGGCCAGUCCUCUUCUGGCUGUGCAGGGUGGAUAUUAUAACAGAACAUGGUCAAGAUGUUAAAAUGUUCAUAAAUGACCAGCAUGGUCAAAUAAUAAUAAUCAUAGUAGUUGUCGAGGGUGCAACAAGCACGUCCGGUGAAUAGUAGCCUAUAUGGCCAGUAAAUAAGAAGUCUCAACAAUUUUGUGUUGUCUGUCUGGGAGUGUAUUACACUGGACUGCCCUGUCUCUGAGUUGUACUAGUCCGUGCUGACUGCUUGUGGGGUCUGUGGAAACAAUCCCCAUCUGAUAGAUACAAUUUUUUAAUUGUGAGAAACUGAUGAGAGAAAUGUGCAUCACAUCAGAGUCAGAUAAGCACAGUAAUAACAGUUUAGAAAUGAACAAAUAAGACAAAACAUCCUCCUCAUGCAUAGCCUGGGAAGCCGUUAGUGGGAGCUAUUGAUCUUCACUAUCAUCUGGGCUAUGUGACCAGCGGGUAAUACGCUGGUGGCCCCCGGCGACCGGUUCGUACAUAACACAUCCUCCAUUCAGAAUGCAAAGGCAUCGGUUUCCUCAUUAACUAGCUUUAAUUGCGUGCCGCUGUGGGAAAAAAACGAAAAAAAUGUGCGUACUGUCUUAAGAAAACACAAUUUCCCACCACCACGCUAGAGUGCCUAAUACUACUUCAUGAUGUUGGCCACCUUGUCAACUAAGGGUAAACAACCGACUGCUGCAACCUGGUUGGCUGAACGCGAUAUGAAACAUUCUGAAGUUGUCCAGAAAUCUGAAAAUGGUGGUGGGAAAUGAUGUUUUAUUACGCACAUAAAAAAAAACCAUUAAAGCAAGUUAAGGAGGAAACCGAUGUAUUUGCAGCCGGAAUAGAGAAUGCUUUACGUACGAACCGAUCGUCCAAAAUCCAUCGCGCUCUAUUUUCUACCACUGCCGGCCAGUGGGCUCCCUCUAACCACCAUAUUUGGUAAAGAGUGGAAACGCCAACCGGAUGCUUCAGAUUUAUGCAUCCGGUGAAACAUCUGGAUUGUUCUAGGCUGGGCACAUUAAACCCAGACAAUAGACGAGAUCCAUAGCCCACACUAGGCUGUACAGGCUACCUCACACAGAUAGAGAGGAUGCAGAGGAUGCAGAGGAUGCAGAGGACAACAAAAUAACACUUUCCUUAGAGGACUUGGUUACAGUGGGCCUAUGUCUAUAUAAUGUAAUUGUAUUUAUAUUUUUAAACGUAACCUUUAUUUAACUAGGCAAGUCAGUUAAGAACAAAUUCUUAUUUACAAGUACGGGGAACAGUGGGUUAACUGUCUUGUUGUAAUUACUAAUAACAUAUAACAUUUAAUAUAAUCUACCAAAAAUAAUGCUGGGGCCUCCUAGUGGCACAGCGGUCUAAGGCCCUGCAUCUCAGUGCUAGAUGUGUCACUAAAGCAAAUCAAAUCAAAUUUAUUUAUAUAGCCCUUCGUACAUCAGCUGAUAUCUCAAAGUGCUGUACAGAAACCCAGCCUAAAACCCCAAACAGCAAGCAAUGCAUGUGAAAGAAGCACGGUGGCUAGGAAAAACUCCCUAGGAAAAACUCCCUAGAAAGGCCAAAAACCUAGGAAGAAACCUAGAGAGGAACCAGGCUAUGAGGGGUGGCCAGUCCUCUUCUGGCUGUAUCACAUCACAUAGUAGUUGUCGAGGGUGCGACAAGCACGUCCGGUGAACAGGUCAGGGUUCCAUAGCCGCAGGCAGAACAGUUGAAACUGGAGCAGCAGCACGGCCAGGUGGACUGGGGACAGCAAGGAGUCAUCAUACCAGGUAGUCCUGAGGCAUGGUCCUAGGUCUCAGGUCCUCCGAGAGAAAGACAAAAAGAGAGAAAGAGAGAAUUAGAGAGAGCAUAUUUAAAUUCACACAGGACACCGGAUAAGACAAGAGAAAUACUCCAGAUGUAACAGACUGACCCUAGCCCCCCGACACAUAAACUACUGCAGCAUAAAUACUGGAGGCUGAGACAGGAGGGAUCAGAAGACCUGACUACAGACACCCUGGUUUGAAUCCAGGCUGAAUCACAACUGGCUGUGAUUGGGAGUCCCAUAGGGCGACGCACAAUUGGCCCAGCGUCGUCUGGGUUUGGCCCGGUGUAGGCUGUCAUUGUAAAUAAGAAUAAGAAUUUGAUCUUAACUGACUUGCCUAGUUAAAUAAAGAUAAAAAAUAUAGUUUACGCUACUUUGUCAUGCUAUGGCAGUGGCGGUUCUAGACCAUUUCAACUGGGCGGGCCAAGCUGGGGCCAGUUGUAUUGUUAGAGGGGCCAGUUACAUUAGACGUUAUUGUUGUCAUAUCGUUUUACAUGUGUUACGAUACUGUUGUGUUCCGCCUAAAGCCGUCCCUCUAGAAAACGUGUGGAUUAAAUUAGUGUUCCGCGUUGCCACUGUCUAAUAACGGAUGUAAAAAAAGAACGAUAGCAAAAAUUUGUUAUGUAAAAAUUAUUUCAUACUCCACAUUUAGGGGGGCCACAAGGGGGUCCAAAAUUGUUGUCACAGGGGCACUGCCCACCCAGUUGGGGCACCUGACUCACCCCCAGGAGGCAGUCCGGUUCCAAAUCGAAUGCAAUCAACGUUCAGCCAGUGCAAAACACAUCUACACGGGCGCUGGGGCGAGAUUAAUCAAACUCCCUCACUGGCAGCCCAAUUAUGGGCUGCGUUCAGAACAGAAAGGGGUUGGGUGGUGGGUUGGGAAUGCUCUGCUGCCCUCUAAAUACCAUCACUCAUUGCUUCAAGCCACACCCCACCACACCCACAAAAUGGAGCAAACGUACCUCAAAGUCUGUUCAAGAACAUUGAAGAACGUUUUUGUAAAAUGUGUCUUUCAGUUAAACCGUCAUGCAACGUAGCAAGCGAUUAAUCAAACUGAACACACCCCUGAUUUUUUUGCCUAAUUAUUUUCAAAAUAUCUACACUGAUUGAUCAAAAGACCAACUAUUGGCAAAAAAAAAAUAUAUAAUAAUUAGGCUGCCUGUGUAAAUGCAGCCCUUCAGUCACAUGGAAUAAUCCUUUUCCAGUUUCUGUUUGCUUGUAAAGUAGUAAUUGUAAGUAUUCUCAGUACAACCUAGUUGGUGGGUGUUUGGAGUGGACUUGGAGACAGCCAGCAGAUGUAAUUCUUCAAAUCAAAUCAAAUUUGAUUGGUCGCGUACACAUACUUUGCAGAUGUUAUCUGUGCAGCGGAAUGCUUAUGUUUCUAUCUACAACAAUACACACAAAUCCCAAAAUGAAGAAAUAUCAUAACGAGCAAUGUCAGAGUCCGGAAUAUAAAUAUAGACAGUAUGAACAGUAUAUGAAUAGGAAAGGUGUGUACAGCAGUAGUUAUAUAGGAUGAGCCCAUAGCUGUACUGAAGGUGCUGCAGCACCCCCUGAAAAAUCAGAAUGAAACCCCCCUGGUCGACAAAAAAAAUGUAUGUGCCACCCUCCCCCCUGCACCUGUACUGUCUCUGCCUUCUAGAUGAUAGCGGGGUGAACAGGCCGUGGCUCAUGAGCUUCUUGGCCUUCCAGUGACACUGGGUGCUGUAGAUGUCCUGAGGGCAGGCAGUAUGCCCCCGGUGAUGCGUUGGGCUGACCUAACCCCCUUAAGUCCACUAUCAGCCCCUUUGUUUUGAUGACGUUGAGGGAGAGGUUAUUUUCCUGGCACCACUCCGCCAGGGCCCUCAACUCCUCCCUGUAGGCUGACUCGUCGUUGUUGCUAAUCAGGCCUACCACUGAUGUGUCGUCAGCAAACUUAAUGAUUGAGUUGGAGAUGGGUGAAAAGUUAGUUCAGGAGGGAGCUGAGGAUGCAUCCUUGUGGGGCCCCCAUGUUGAGGAUUAGCUUGGCAGAAGUGCUGUUGCCUUCAUUCACCACCUGGGGUCUGCCCGUCAGGAAGUCCAGGACCCAGUUGCACAGGGCAGGGUUCAGACCCAGGGUCCCGAGCUUAGUGAUGAGCUUGGAGGACACUAUGGUGUUGAAGGCUGAGUCGAUAAACAGCAUUCUUACAUUGGUAAUCCUCUUGUCCAGAUCAAAUCAAAUCAAAUGUAUUUAUAAAGCCCUUCUUACAUCAGCUGAUAUCUCAAAGUGUUGUACAGAAACCCAGCCUAAAACUCCAAACAGCAAGCAAUGCAGGUGUAGAAGCAAGGUGGCUAGGAAAAACUCCCUAGAAAGACCAGAACCUAGGAAGAAACCUAGAGAGGAACCAGGCUAUGAGGGGUGGCCAGAAUGGGAUAGGGCAGUGUGCAGUGCAAUGGUGAUUGCGUAAUCUAUGGAUCUGUUGGGAUGGUAUGCAAAUUAUGGUAACACUUUAUUUGACACCCACCAUAACACGUUAUGAUAUCAAAAUAUGUCAUAACAGCUGACAUAACUUGUCAUAACCUGUCAUAACAUAGUCAUAACUCUGUCAUCCCUCAUAUAUUUAGACCUGUUGUGACAUAUAUUGCGUUAUUUUAUGGCUGGUUAUGAGACCUACAUAAGAGUGUCAAAACCUACCACACAUGGCAAAACAUUCCAUUACACCAUAGCCUGCUUGUCAACAGUAUGUUUAUGUUAUAUAUAAUUAUCUGAAAUUGACCAUACUAAAUUAUCAUUGUAAUAGCGCACACAGUGAUGUCAGACUUACACCUUACCCAAUGCUUUGUUGCUGAUGACUGGGAUGAAUACAGCAGCAGAUUUCAGGGGCAGGACAAGACACCUUCUAUUUGACUGUUGACUGACAUAAGGGCUUGUACGUGAUAGCCCUAUCUGGCUUAUAUGAUUAUGAUGGUCAAAAUUAUUCUUGACAGUGUCAUAAAGUGUAUUUUCUUAGUCCAAGUAAAGUGACACAGGAUGGUCAUAAUGCUUCUUGACAGUGUCAUAAAGGCUUUUUCUACAUGUUAUUUAAAUUAUGAUAGAAAAAAAGAUGACAGUAAAUAAUUCCUUACAACAACAAGAAAGGACUUACGAAACAGACUUUCAAACAAAAGGAAACUUCUU